UGAGGAAUAUUGGUCAAUGGACGAGAGUCUGAACCAGCCAAGUCGCGUGAAGGAAGACGGUUCUAUGAAUUGUAAACUUCUUUUGUGCAGGAAUAAAGUGGGUUACGUGUAACCUUUUGUAUGUACUGUACGAAUAAGGAUCGGCUAACUCCGUGCCAGCAGCCGCGGUAAUACGGAGGAUCCGAGCGUUAUCCGGAUUUAUUGGGUUUAAAGGGUGCGUAGGUGGAUUGAUAAGUCAGCGGUGAAAGUUUGCAGCUUAACUGUAAAAUUGCCGUUGAAACUGUCGGUCUUGAGUGCAAAUGAGGUAGGCGGAAUGUGUUGUGUAGCGGUGAAAUGCUUAGAUAUAACACAGAACUCCGAUUGCGAAGGCAGCUUACUGGGAUGCAACUGACACUGAUGCACGAAAGCGUUGGUAUCAAACA
rnacentral:rRNA from 1 species